rnacentral:rRNA from 5 species
CUGAGAGGAUGACCAGCCACACUGGAACUGAGACACGGUCCAGACUCCUACGGGAGGCAGCAGUGGGGAAUAUUGCACAAUGGGCGCAAGCCUGAUGCAGCCAUGCCGCGUGUAUGAAGAAGGCCUUCGGGUUGUAAAGUACUUUCAGCGGGGAGGAAGGGAGUAAAGUUAAUACCUUUGCUCAUUGACGUUACCCGCAGAAGAAGCACCGGCUAACUCCGUGCCAGCAGCCGCGGUAAUACGGAGGGUGCAAGCGUUAAUCGGAAUUACUGGGCGUAAAGCGCACGCAGGCGGUUUGUUAAGUCAGAUGUGAAAUCCCCGGGCUCAACCUGGGAACUGCAUCUGAUACUGGCAAGCUUGAGUCUCGUAGAGGGGGGUAGAAUUCCAGGUGUAGCGGUGAAAUGCGUAGAGAUCUGGAGGAAUACCGGUGGCGAAGGCGGCCCCCUGGACGAAGACUGACGCUCAGGUGCGAAAGCGUGGGGAGCAAACAGGAUU